AUCAAAGCAUUGAGCAAGAAAGUAACGUCUAAAUUUGGGGCUAAGAGAUAAAGUUCAUUGGCUGAGAGAACUUUACCCACUUAAACGUGAAGGUAACUUGUGAGCUGUUAGACUGAAGUGAGUAGGUCUAGCCGGACAAGUAGUUCGUUAACGUGAUGAAGUGGCGCAAUAGCGCAAUUUAGGUGGUACCGCGAAUUUAAGCAUUCGUCCUAUUA
rnacentral:ncRNA from 1 species